UCCAUAUGGGAUCCCCUGGUUGACUCCAUAGUUAACCACACGUGGCCCAGUCAGGGAAGGCCAUUUGGCCUACAUGCGUGGAGGGAGACAUAGGUAUAAAACCUGGCUUUAAUGGAUAAUGAGUUCAUUUGAUGAAUUCAUUUCUCUCUCUUCACCUUAGAGCAUAAAACGCUCUGCAAUACUCACCACCCUCUCCGAUCAACCCUCACCGGAGAAGAUGGUGGUUGCCAGUCACAGGAGGCGACACCACCUUCUUCUCCGGAAGACCAACACCUCAAAACACCAAACACCAACCCCUCUUCUUUUUCAGCAAGGAUUUUGAAUCUGGCUUCCCCUUCACCUAAAUCCUCUCCAAACACUCAGAGCAAACCCUAACCGAACAAAAGAUUCGAGCUACAAAAUUAAUAACCUUAUAACACGAACUCGAUCUCCAAUACUCUCCCAAAUACAAAUCAAAACUGGAUUCCACAAUCAAAGCAUAAAACAAAAAAAACCUAGAUUUUAAAUUAAAUUCCAAAUAGCAAGGAUCUCAAGCAAUUGACAAGGGGGUUCUACUCAGUUUCUCAAGGCAAACAUGAAGUUGAACAAAUUUGGAGCAAACAUGAAGAGAUUUACCUAGAUGGAAGUUAGUCCAAGGAUGCUUCCUCAGGCGAUACUCAGAUAAGUCCCCUUCCUCCUUUAUGUGUGCUUCUCUAGGUCCUUCCUCCUCUAUUUGCUUUUCAAACUUAGCUACUAUUUUUCUUAGGUUUAGUUUUAGUUCGAAUUAUCUCAGAGUUUCGAUGAGAAACUUUUAAUAAUUUUGAGAAUUCUGAGCUUUUAGUGAUGUUUUUGUAAUUUGUUUUGACAGCGUUUCAGUAGAGUAUCCUUCCUCUUUUCAAUAGAACAGUAGUAUCCUUUAUAUAUGAUGAAUAGGGAGUGAUCUUAACGUGUGCAUUCUUUCUCCUAUAUUUGUAUGCUAAGUUUUUUGUAGAGAAAAAUGAUGAGCGGGUCCUAUUUCAGAAUUAAUCUAUUAGAAAAGAUUUGGUAAAUCCUUGAUUAUGUGGGAUGUUUUGUGAGUCGAAUGGCACAACACAAAAAAUGCACUUCCCCUUUGUUUGUAGUUACUGACAUGUCCCGUGUGGUCCCCAUUUUUUCCAUAUAUAAUAUUGUGUUAACUUACUAUCAUUUGGAUUGGCUUUUGGUUAUACAAUGCGAUUUUAAAUGCAGUAGUAGUUUUUUCUAUAACAAUGCCCUGCUGCUAUUUGUGACUGAUUGAAUGCUCUUCUUUUUACUACUAUGAUGGCCUUAGUUUUGAUGUGCUUACAUUGUACCUUAGACUAGUGUGGUGAUAUGGUCACAGUAUGCUUCAUUGUUCAUUCAUGUAUUAGUGGCUCUGAUCAUGGACCAAUUGUUUAUGCUUUUGCAGGUUCAGUGAUGACUUCUACAGCAUGUUGUUUGACCUUGUUGUCAUAGGCUGAGUUGUUUUAAUAUGGCUUGGAAUGAUAGGUGUUAAUGUCAUAGUUGGAAGUAUUGUUGAUGCGAUCUUCCUAGUAGGGAUAUUGUUCCAGGAACUUUGAGGCAAGUUGUUGGACUUGAAUCAUGUUUUGCAGGUCGAAGAUAAAUUGGGAUGACAAGGCCAAUAUGUCCAGUUGAACCAUCCUGGUGACAUUAGGGUAAUAGGUAGUAAAAAACCCCCAAAGUACCGAGUUUUGUAGUAUCGUGUAAUUAGGGUGUAAUACUAAAAUGAUGGACUUUGUAAUGUAUUUGUGUCAUGUCUAUGAAUACUUAGUCAAAAAUGCAAUUUUAUUAUUUGAACAUAAA